rnacentral:rRNA from 1 species
AUACGGAGGGUGCAAGCGUUAAUCGGAAUUACUGGGCGUAAAGCGUACGUAGGCGGUCCGUUAAGUUAGAUGUGGAAGCCCCGGGCUUAACCUGGGAACUGCAUUUAAAACUGGCGGACUAGAGUUGAGUAGAGGGGAGUGGAAUUUCAGGUGUAGCGGUGAAAUGCGUAGAGAUCUGAAGGAACACCAGUGGCGAAGGCGACUCCCUGGACUCGAACUGACGCUGAGGUACGAAAGCGUGGGUAGCAAACGGGAUUAGAAACCCCAGUAGUCC